rnacentral:lncRNA from 1 species
AUACAGGCUAUGAAUUGGAAAUCUUCAUCAUUAAGAAAGCAAGGCUGGUAGCUAUGUUCCGUCCUGUUGGUGUCUUAAGACUUAAUGAAGAUUUCACUUUAUAGUCUCUAUCCUGUACAGCUAAUAUUCAUAGAAAUAGUAAGUUCCUGCAACUAUAUUUGUUUCUGUUUGUUUCAGGGGGAGUUCUAGUGUUUGCAGUUAACUUACGAAGCGGGAAGGCACUGCAAGAGGCAGUUAUACUCAAAAUCUGCAAAUUUAGCCUUGUCUGCACUCUAAGUCAAACAGUUUUCAUCCGAUCUUCACCAAACUUGGUGACAAUGUUUGUGGACAUAAUAUCUCAGCCAAGUUUGAUAACCAGCUAAGUUGCCGCAGGAAUCUAGGAUUAUGGCCCUUAAAUUACUCAAAAAACUUCGAAAUUAGCCUUGUCCGCUCUCUAGGUCAAACAAUUUUCAUUUGAUCUUUCACAAACUUGUGGACAAUGUUUGUGGGCAUAAUAUCUCAGCCAAUUUCGAUAACCAGCCAAAUUACCCCAGGCACUCUUGAAUUAGACCAAAUUCGAUGACAGGCAUAUUUUGUGACAGUCUGACACUUGUUAUUUGGAAGCAAAAGCAUUUUAUCCUCAUUGCAAGCUUUUUGUCCUGUUUAUAAUGUAUGAACCUCAGUAUUUUGUGGUUUUAUCUGCAGGAGUACAGGAAAGUGUUCAUAUAACCUUGGACUGUUCACAGGCAGCUUUAUAUCCUAUGAUAAGUUCGUGUCUCUGAAAGGAGGUGAAUUAUAUGUGUUGACGUUAAUGGUGGAUGGUAUAAGAAGUGUGAGGAGUUUUAACUUCGAUAAAUCUGCAGCCAGUGAUCUAACAACCUGUAGUGAGCUGCCGGCAAAGAAAAAGUAAACAGACGGCCCAACUGAUAAUGGCAUCUGAUGUGACUUUAGUAGAGAAUCUGGAUGAACUGGAUGUGUAUGGAGCUAGCAAGAACCCUUCUGGUACCACAAUCACGUCUUACAUGUUUGAGGUAUGUGAUAACAUUUGGAAUAUUGCCCCCUGUGGAAACAUUGUGAUGGGGGAACCAGCAUUUCUGUCAGAGGAGUUCAGUAACACAGUGGAUCCUGACCUGGAACUUAUCACUACGUCAGGGUAUGGUAAAAAUGGAGCACUGUCAGUACUACAGAGAAGUAUUAGGCCCCAGGUUUAGGACAGGGAUUGAGCUGCCGAGCUGUGUGAACAUGUGGACAGUACCAGGACCAAAGAUGAGCAGUGAGAAUGGUGAAGCAGACAAACAAGAGUUACAGGAUGGUCAUGCUUUCCUGAUUCUCAGCAGACCUGACUCUAGUAUGGUAAUUUGGAGCAUUCAGCCUUAAUAGUUGUCAUUGGUUUCCAUACCAAAUCAGUUGUCUGCAUUACCGUUAUGGAAAGUCUGCUGGCUUGGAAUCAUUUGCCUUUUCUGAACGUGUUGAACAAGCGUCUACAGAUUCUGCAGACUGGUCAGGAGAUACAGGAGUUAGAUCACAGUGGGUUCAGUACACAGCCACUGUAUACGCCGGUAAUGUGGGGGAAGGAUGGUAUAUACUACAGGUGUCUUCUGGUGGUGUCAGAUUGCUAGUUGGAGUACAACAGCUCCAGCACAUACCGAUAGAGAUGGGAACCCCGAUUGUACAGUGUACUGUAGCUGAUCCCUAUAUAUUGAUAAUGAGUAAUGAGGGAACCAUCAUGAUGUUAACAUUGAAACAAGAAGUGACUGGUACCCGGCUUGUUCUCAGUAAACCUCUCAUAUCUAAUAUUCUGCAGACUGGUCAGUAGAUACAGGAGUUAGAUCACAGUGGCUUCAGUACACAGACAGCCACUAUAUACACCAGAAAUGUCAGUGAUGGGUGGUAUAUAUUACAGGUGUCUUCUGGUGGUGUCAGAUUAUUAGAUGGAGUACAACAGCUCCAGCACAUACCUAUAGAGAUGGGUACCCCGAUUGUACAGUGUGCUUUAGCUGAUCCCUAUAUAUUGAUAAUGAGUGAUGAGAGAACCAUCAUGAUGUUAACAACGAAACAAGAAGUUACUGGUGCCCGGCUUGUUCUCACUAAACCUCUCAUAUCAAAUAAACCAUGAGUAACCACCAUUUGUGCUUAUAAAGAUGAGAGCGGAAUGUUCACAACAUUGUCUGUUGAGGUUGAUGAGGAAACAACAACAACAGAACAGAAAAUAAACAUGAAUACAUCACUUGAGAAAGUCUUCAGUAUGGAGAAUAGCACUGUUGAUGAUGAUGAGCUGUUGUACGGGGAUGAUGAUACCUCAGCUAUAGACACCUCGGCUAGUAUCAGUAUGAAAGAGGAGAUAAACCGUGGUAGGUUCAUCAUUGAAAAAGGUCGAAGUAUGUUUGUUCUUGAUACAUACGAUGGUUGCUGAUAAUUUGGCCAGUGUCAUUGUAAAAGAAUACACAUA